AUUGAACGCUGGCGGCAGGCCUAACACAUGCAAGUCGAACGAGCGGCGGACGGGUGAGUAAUGUCUGGGAAUCUGCCCGAUGGAGGGGGAUAACUACUGGAAACGGUAGCUACUACCGCAUACUAUCGGAUGUGCCCAGAUGGGAUUAGCUAGUAGGUGGGGUAAAGGCUCACCUAGGCGACGAUCCCUAGCUGGUCUGAGAGGAUGACCAGCCACACUGGGACUGAGACACGGGCCAGACUCCUACGGGAGGCAGCAGUGGGUAAUAUUGCACAAUGGGCGCAAUCCUGAUGCAGCCAUGCCGCGUGUAUGAAGAAGGCCUUCGGGUUGUAAAGUACUUUCAGCGGGGAGGCGUUACCCGCAGAAGAAGCACCGGCUAACUCCGUGCCAGCAGCCGCGGUAAUAC
rnacentral:rRNA from 1 species